rnacentral:RNase_P_RNA from 1 species
UUUUUGAGAUGGAUAAUCGCGAUUUAUCGAGGAAAGUCCGGACACUAUAGAGCAGAGAGCUGGGUAACUCCCAGGCAAGUAAUUGACGGAAAGUGCAACAGAAAAUAUACCGCUUGCGUAAGUAAGUAAGUAAGGGUGAAAAGGUGGUGUAAGAGACUACCAGUAAUUUAAGUAAUUAAAUUAGCUUGUAAACCCCUCUCAGUGCAAUAUCAAGAAGCAAUUAGCUUGCUCGGCUAAAAAUUGCGGGUAGAUAGCUAGAUGUAUUUGGUAACAAAUAUACAAGAUGGAUGAUUAUCUUACAUUAAUUUGUAAACAGAAUCCGGCUUACAAUCUCAAAAACCAG